rnacentral:sRNA from 1 species
AUGGGUCUAGGAAAGACAAUCCAGGCAAUUGGAAUUGCUUACUUCUAUAAAGAGGAAUGGCCUCUGUUAAUAGUGGUCCCUUCGUCUCUGAGGUACCCUUGGACAGAAGAAAUCGAAAAAUGGAUCCCAGAGCUAAGUCCAGAAGAAAUCAGUGUUAUUCAGAAUAAAACUGAUGUUAGGAGAAUAUCGACCAGUAAAGUGACAGUUCUGGGUUAUGGUCUCUUAACCACAGAUGCAAAGACUUUGAUAGAUGCCCUGAAUAAUCAGAACUUCAAAGUAGUUAUAGUGGAUGAAUCACACUACAUGAAAUCCAGAAAUGCAACUCGCAGCAGGAUUUUAUUGCCAAUAGUACAGAAAGCCAGACGAGCCAUUCUUCUUACAGGAACACCAGCUUUAGGAAGGCCUGAAGAGCUUUUUAUGCAGAUUGAAGCUCUCUUUCCACAAAAAUUUGGAAGAUGGACCGACUAUGCAAAAAGAUACUGUAAUGCACGCAUCAGUAUUCCAGUGUUUUACAAACUUGUGGUAGCUAUGAAAUAAUUGGUGGAUUAUUAUACAUAUAGGUGGAUGACCUAUAUGUAAAAUAAAUAAAAGUA